AGGACCUUGGCCUCACCCAGUACAGCAGGAUACACAGAGCUCACCUAGCAAGCAGUCACUAUUUCAUCUUCUCUGCACUGUUAGAGGUGUGGCCUCAAGCCUUGUUUACCAGGGAGAUUCACAAAAUCCUGAAGAAAAGGUCCAUCUGAAAAUUCCAGGCAGUGAUUUAUCUGUGUUGACACCAGGAAAGAUAGACAGACA